CCUUUUCAAAUAGGUAGAUCGAAAAUGUCAUAGCUAGGAGUAAGAAACAUUCCAGGUCUAAGCCCAUCCAAGGCACCAUUAAUCCGUUAAUACUAAAUUUAAGAUGCUCAAAAUCUCCCAGAAAUUGCCAACAAUAGAAAAACUUACUAGUGAAAUUAUAUAGCUAUCUCCAGAUUAUUCAGAGAAUCAACAACACUUUUCUCCAUUAGAAUCUAAGUCAAAUCUUCUAAUAAUUCUCCUUAUCAAUACAACUUUAUCAGUAGAUCUUAUCAAAAGAGUAAGGUCCAUUACUUCGACAUUUAGUUCUUUUAAUAGGUGAUCUAAUUCAAACUUCUCUUUUUUUUUGUUGCUUAUACACGAAAAUCAACAUCUUAAUUUUGAAUAAGAAUAUCAAAUUUCUUUAUCAAACUAUCAACUGCUCUCGAUUAACCGAUCUAUCACAAGAUUGGAUCAUAAACAACUCUAGUCCACUCUUGAUUGAAAUUCAUCAUGGUCUACUGAUAACCUCAAUUUCUUUUAAUCAGAUGGAGAGUUGAUAUUAAUUAAAGAA
rnacentral:lncRNA from 1 species